UAUAAAUAAAAUUUUAUUUUUAUUUUUUAUUUUGGCAUGUGGCCCCUGGAAGGUUGCUCAUUGAGCAUCGUAAACUUCGCUCGUGACUCUCCACCUGACCACUCUUUCUUCUUCUGUUAUAGUGGGGAUGGGGGCUUUUUCAUUCUGAAGGCCAUACUCCCUGAUGGGCAGCCUUCUGGGGCUGAAGGCCAGCCAUGGGUGGAGCCCGAGAAAAAAAGCUUCCUUAUGUGCAUGGCUACAUUUCAUCAUCUUAUGAAAUCAGAAACAAGGAUAACAAUGGAAACAACAAUGGGGAAUGCAGGAUCCGGCUGGGGGCAUUGUCAGAUCAAUUUAUGUGCUUAUCGGCACAAUCCGCAAGAGCUUCAGUGCUUUUUCAGUCUGUGCUUCUUUUGUGGUUCUCAUGCCACGUGAGAUGUUAUCUGCAAUUCAUUUAAUUAAAAGUGCCUUGCUGUGUCUCCAAACCUUUCCUCUGAAACAAGUACCUGCUCUGUCUUUGCUGGAGAAGUAUGUGGCAGAGCUACAAUCUUUUAUUACAAAAAGGUGAGAAAAAUAUUCUAUUUUUCUUUGGGUAGAAAAUCAGAUCCCACACAUGACACAUUAUUUGAAGAUCAGGAUUACUCUUGAAGAACUUUUACUGUGCAUAUGUAGUCUGUGCAAAUGUAGUGUGUGCAAAUAAACAAUUUCCUCUCUGAGAAACUGA